rnacentral:ncRNA from 2 species
CCGCGCGGUUACGUCAUGGGUUGCCCGCAAGGGCCUAAGAGGGAAGCCGGGUGCGAAUACCGGCGCUGCCCCCGCAACUGUGACCGGGGAGGCCGCCUCCACCAUGCCACUGGCCCGUAUGAGGGCCGGGAAGGCGGAUGGCGCGACUGACGAUCCGGGAGCCAGGAGACCUGCCCGAGACGGUCGUUCCGC